rfam:Brassica napus, WGS project CCCW01000000 data, contig: 32928
AACCCGUGAUGAGGACCCUCUCUGAGGGUAUCAUUGAACCGUUCCCACGCUUCAUUGAAAGGUUCAUUAGCGAGUUGUUUAAAGGAGGAGAUCUUGUUCCUUAGGGC